rnacentral:rRNA from 1 species
CAGACCUCUAAUCGGAAAAGACUACCCGCUGAGUUUAAGCAUAUCACUAAGCGGAGGAGAAGAAACUAACCAGGAUUUCCCUAGUAACGCGCGANCGAAC